UGUUAGUGGUGGUGAUGAUGGUGAUGAUUGUGGCCGCAAAGGUAACAUGGUGGAGGUGAAUAAUAUGAUGGUGGUGGUGUUAGUGGUGGUGACAGUGGUGGCAGGGGCGACAAAGGUACAGGUGGUAAUGUUCAUUGUGAGACAUGGCGAUGGUGUCGGUUAUGGUUAUGGUGAGACGGUGGAGGUGGUGGUGGCCACAUUGGUGAGGAUGAUGACGGUAGAGGAUAUGGUGGUGGUGGCAAUGGUGAUGGGAGGUGAUGGUGCAAAGAUGGUGGCAGUGGCGGUGAUGGUGUUGAGAUAGUGGAGAAUGUAGUGAUGGUGGUGGUGGUGGUGGUGGUUGCAACGGUGACGGUAGUGAUGGCAUACAUGAUUUCUAUUUGUUUUAUUAAAAUUUUCACUUUAUCUUAUAAUAUAUGUUUUAUUUUCUAUUAUUUCGAAGCUGAAAAAAU
rnacentral:lncRNA from 1 species